AUACCAGAGUUAAAAGGUCCAAACCCACAUGAGCUCGCUUAUAGGUAGGUUUAGACCUUGGAACCCACCUACGAUAUGAACAUGAAAGUUGGAUGAUAAUCCCACGAUAUGUGAAUAUUGGGGGGGAUUGUGGAAGUGCGUAGCACGGAACAAUUCGUAGGUAUC
rnacentral:sRNA from 1 species